rnacentral:rRNA from 1 species
UACGGAGGGUGCAAGCGUUGUCCGGAAUCACUGGGCGUAGAGGGCGCGUAGGCGGCUCAUGAAGGCUGUGGUGAAAGUCCGGGGCUCAACCUCGGAUCGGCCGUGGCGACUCGUGGGCUGGAGCACUGUAGAGGCGGGUGGAAUUCCGGGUGUAGCGGUGGAAUGCGUAGAGAUCCGGAAGAACACCAGUGGCGAAGGCGGCCCGCUGGGCAGUGGCUGACGCUGAGGCGCGACAGCGUGGGGAGCAAACAGG